rnacentral:rRNA from 1 species
AUGAACUGCCUCCAGCACCUGCUCAAGGAGCCUCCGAUCUUAGCGGGAUCCAGAUCGAUGAGGCGGCCCUCGCCGCUCAACCUCGCCAUGGUUCGCGGAGGGAGUCGCCGCUCCAACACCGUCAAGACCGCAUCCGGGACAUCCACUUCCAGCGCGGAGAACAGCGCGUUGGAGCCCGGCGCGGAGAAGUCCGAUGCGUAUAGCACCAACAUGACACAAGCCAUGGGAGCAGUGUUGACGUACAGGCAUGAGCUUGGAAUGAAUUACAAUUUUAUAUGCCCAGACUUGAUUGUAGGCUCCUGCUUACAGACCCCAAGUGAUGUUGAUAAGCUUCGGGAGAUUGGUGUAAAAACUGUAUUCUGCUUGCAGCAAGAUCCAGACCUUGAAUAUUUUGGAGUUGACAUCCAUGCCAUUCAAGACUAUUGUCUAGAAUGCAAAGACAUUGAGCACUGCCGUGAAGAAGUUAGGGAUUUCGAUGCUUUUGAUUUGCGACUGAGGCUUCCUGCUGUGAUUAGCAAAUUGUACAAGCUUGCCAGCCAUAAUGGUGGAAUAACAUAUAUACAUUGUACUGCUGGACUUGGAAGAGCUCCUGCUGUUGCACUGGCAUAUAUGUUCUGGAUUCUUGGUUACAAUCUUAACGAAGGACAUCAACUACUACAGAGUAAAAGGCCUAGCUUUCCGAAGUUGGAAGCCAUCAAAUUGGCAACAGCUGACAUUCUCACGGGCUUGUCAAAAAACUGCAUCACUUUGAAGUGGAAAAAUGGCAGUUGUUCUUCUGUUGAAAUUUCUGGGCUUGACAUUGGGUGGGGACAGAAAAUUCCCCUGGCAUAUGAUGAGGAGAAAAAAGCAUGGUUUCUUGAGAGAGAGUUACCUGAAGGACGGUAUGAGUACAAAUAUGUAGUGGAUGGCAACUGGGUGUGCAACGAACAUGAGAUGAAGACCAAGCCCAAUGCCGACGGCCAUGUGAAUAACUACAUCCAAGUUGCCAGGGACGGCACGAGCGAUGAAGAGAAGGCAAUGAGGGAGCGAUUGACUGGCCCAGACCCUGAUCUAACAAAAGAGGAAAGGCUGAUGAUUAAAGAGUACCUGGAACAGUACACUGAGCAAUAA